CAGGGCUCUCGGGCUCAGUUAGGGACCCGGAGUGGCGAGAGCGCUGCUCCCGGCGUGCAGCGCGGGCCCGGGCCCAGGCCCAGGCUCGGGGGCGCGCCGCGCUUGGUCCGCGGCCGCUCUCGGGCCGGAGCCCCCGGCGGCCGGGCACGGAGGCCAGAGCGCGGUGAGCGGGAGCAGGCAGCUCGGAGCAGCCAGCCGAUUGCGGAGGCGGAGGCCGAGACCGAGUGCCCAGCCGCUGUCCGCCCGGCCCGGCGGAAGGUCACCCCUGUCCUGUGCUCAGUUUCCACCAGCGUCACGAGGCAGGAGGGAACAGGUAGGGGUUGAGACCAAGCAUCGUGCCUGAUCCGAGGAAGGCAGCUACUCUGCAGAAAGCAAACCACCGCCCGGAAAGUGGCCAUAAGCCCAGCCCUCACCCUAAAAGAACAGGUGGUGUCUACACUCCAAAAAACUUCCUAAAGUUUUUCAGACUUUAGGAAAGCCGUAAUGUGGACAUGGAACCUGGGCAGCAUCUUCAUCAAAUGAGUCAGUAGGUGUGCAGGAAAAUCUGCGUGGAAUGAAAAGACCACAAGCGUCUGUUAGUUCUGACUUUGCAAAUCAGUUGAACAAAACUUCCCACCUUCAAAACUUUGGAUUUGGGGCCUAUGGAGAAACGCACGGUAUUGCACAUAUUCUGAGGGAGAGAGGGAUCCAGCUCUCUUGCGUCAGGGUUCCAUCUACUUCCUGUGGACUGCUCUUCAAACUUCUGUCCGCCCUUUUCCUUACUUUCCAGAAAGUGUUUCAAUUUUUCAUGUGUAUUUCCUUUGUCCUCUGAUGGGGGUCAGUGCUAGUGAGGCCACGACUGAGGAGUGUAGGGAAAGGCAUAGCAGCGGUAGGGUGGCAGUAUUACCACAGGAAGGCCCAAUUUCCUGAGCUGUGAACUUCAUCUGCACGUUUAUGUGACUGUGCCGAAGGCUUACGCCUGCUUCAUAAACCAGUGUGUGGCCUCAAGAAAAGCCACAGGGACGCUUUAUCUUACACCAUUUAUGAAGAUUAGCUCAAAGCAUAUUAAAGACUAAAGAGACCUAAAGCCACAUAAUUUCUAGAACAGGGAAAGCUCCAUGACUUUGGACUUGGCAAUGAUUUCUUUGUUAUAAUAUCAAGUAUACAGGCAGCAAAAGUAAAAGUAGACAAAUGGAACCGCAUCAAGCUUAAGAUUUAUGCACCUCAAAGGACACACCUGACACUGAAAAUGGGACCUAUGGAAUGAGAGGAAAUAUUUAUUUCUACGCCAUUAGGGGUUAACAUCUGGAAUGUAUGAAGUCCUACAACUCAAGGACAAUAAAAUAACCAAUUUAAAAAUGGGCAAAGGACUUGAGUAGACAUUUUCCCCAAGAUAAGAAAUGACCAACAAGCACAUGAAAAUAUAAUCACUAGUUGAGAAAAGCUAAUCAACACCACAACGAAACAUCACACCUGCUAGGGGGGUACUAUCAAAAUAAGUAUUGGCAAAGAUGUGAGAAAUCCUGGGCACUGUUGUUGGCAGUAUACAAUAUUGCAGCCAGUGUGGGAAAUGGUGUUCAGGUACAGAAGAAUUAGUAUUAGCACAUGAUCCAGCAGUCCCACUUCUGGGUAUUGAAAGAAGGAUCUAGAAGAGCAGCGUGCACACCCAGGUUGACAGCAGUGUUAGAAAGGUACACAGCAUAUGGAAGCAACACAAGCCCUGUAGGUGGGGUGCAUUAUGAGCAAAAUGUAUGUGCACACCAUGGAAUAUUAUUUAGCCUCAAAAAGCAAUGAAAAGCACAUGAUACAACCUGGGUGGACCUUGGAGAUGUGCUGAGUGAGAUGAGUCAGUCACGGGGGACACGUAAGAGUCUACCUGUGAGGUGCCUAGAACUCAGACCAAGGUGGAGUGGUCACCAGGGCUGGGGGCAGGGGAAAGGAGGCGUGCGUGUUCAGCAGGAUAGUUUGCACAACAGUUGAACAGAUUCAACGGUCCUGAGCUGUGCACCAUGGUUAAUGUGCCAACUUUUAUGUUUGUAACCACAAUUAGAAAUUUUAAAAGAAAGGAAAAGUGCGAAUGGAAUAAGAUGAUUAUUUUUCUGAUGUAUUUUUAGAAACCCUUUGUAGUGUUCAUGAUUUUCAGCAUAAUAAAUAUUGAUAUUUCUGAAUACUCUGAGGCUGUG
rnacentral:lncRNA from 1 species